GAAUCCCCUUCACACGUGCAGACAAAGAGCGCCAACAACACAACCCAAAUAUGCACUUUUAAACUUUUCCAAACGAAACGGACGACUUCCACGAACAUAGGAAAUGCAACGAACGCAACAAGGAAUAAAGGCGGAUGAAGUCCUGGUGGUUUAGGGAGUGUGGGGCAUUGAGCAACAGGUAUAAGACACAGCACAGUGGGUUGAAACCUGUUUAAUUGGAAAAGCUUUUCUUUUUCGGGAGGCCUGAAUUGGGAAAAAGUACCUUGGAGCCGUACCUUUACAACAGGAUUUUAGCUGCAGGACCUCUGAAUAACCACCUACACUGUGGCGGAUUGACCCGCGACCUGUACCGGACUCAUGGAAUCAGAAUUGGAUUAUAUCUUCCGGCGCACAUCACAACAAAGGCGUUCCAAAUUGGAUAGGCGUCUCAUCGGACCCUCAAGGACAA